GCUUAGUCUAGACAAACGUAAUCAUAAACUGUUAGCAGGCUAUUCGAACUAACCAGCCUGCAACAUCAAGCAAGAAUUGGAAAAACGAACCAACAACAUUUUAAGAUGUUCCUCAAUGAGGACCGACGCCAGUCAAGCAAGAAUAUAAGGGGCCAUUCCUCGAGAACCAUUUCAGAACCAAGGGCAACAACGGAUUUUCAUCCUCAAAUCCAAUCUGUCCAGUUCUGCAUUUUGCGUCUCAGCAGCGGAGCACAUGGACGUUUACGUGGCGUUGUUGGGGGCAGUGCUCCUGCCCGACUUGGCAUUAAGCUUAAAGGGUGGCUGUCUGACUGGGAGGGGUCAAAAAAGUUUCCCUAGCCAAGAGACAGCAAUGAAAGAAUGUCAUUUGUACUCUGAUGCAUCCUGCUGCUUUGCUAACUUCACUGAAGAGCUUGUCUCCCCUGUGACAAAAGUGGAAAACACCAAAUGGGAUGUCUGUCAGCAGCUUAGUGACAGGUGUGAGACAUACAUGAAACGAGUUGAGUGCUUCUACCGGUGCUCUCCACAGGCAGCUCACUGGAUGAACCCCAACUACACUGCUGGCUUCUUGAAUGUCCCAAUCUGUGUCAACUUCUGUGACAGUUGGUACGAUGCAUGUAAAGAUGACCUAACCUGUGCUAAAAACUGGCUCACUGACUUCAAAUGGGACAAUGACGGCAACCACUGUCAACACGAUUGUGUCCCAUAUAGCAAAAUGUACACCGAUGGGACAGACAUGUGCCAGUCCAUGUGGGGUCCUUCCUUUUCGCCAAGCUCCUCAGAGGGCCGCUGUUUGCAGAUGGAUGACCAAGACGACACGGUCCUGUCCCACAUCCUGUGCCCGAGUUCCAGUUCCAAGGGCGCUGCAUCCGACCAAGAGGAGCCCUGCCAUCAGUCAUCGCUGAUUUUGGAUGAGAUUUCCCCUGAUCAGGAGAUCUGGGAUAGCCUGCUUGUCUCUAGCCUCUUUGCUAUUGUUAGCAAGCUAGCUAAAUGGACUGGAUAUGUAGCGUACUUGGCUGGCUAGCUGUGUACCACAUGGUCUAGCACAUCAAGCUACCUCAGACACAAAUAAAUUACCACACUGAAAAACACUACGUGAUUUCCAUAGCUGCCAUUACAGCCCUGGUGAUUUCCCCUUCACACAUCCCCACUGGUGCUAUCUUCAGCUCACACAUGUCAGGGUACAUGUAAGACUUUAUAAAGAUUUACAGAAUAGGAUCUCAUCAUUAUUCUCAUCAUCUUCAUUGUCAACUUUUCCUUCUCUGCCUAUUCGUCAUAUUUAUUUGGCUAUACUAUCAGAGAAUGUGUCAUAUGUAAAAUAAAAUGAUUUUGUCUUUGAUCAUUUA